rnacentral:rRNA from 1 species
UACGUAGGUGGCAAGCGUUGUCCGGAUUUACUGGGCGUAAAGCGAGCGCAGGCGGAUCCUUAAGUAGGAAGUGAAAGGUUGGAGCUCAACUCUAACACUGCUCCCUAUACUGGGGGUCUUGAGUGCCGGAGAGGAAGACGGAACGACACGUGUAGCGGUGAAAUGCGUUGAGAUGUGUCGGAACACCAAUGGCGAAAGCAGUCUUCUGGACGGAUACUGACGCUCAGGCUCGAAAGCCAAGGUAGCAAACAGG